UGUGACUGCCCCAGAGAAGCCUAGUAGUAAUGGAGCGCUGCUACCCCUGAACACCCCUUACUGUGAGAAAGCAGCCUGAAGGAGUGUGCACAAUAAGAUAAUGCAAAAAGGCUGUUAAAAUUCUGCAACCAUCGAUCUACCGAAACUCUUAGAAACACCAAAACCUGCACCAGAGUUUUGAGAAUUUCUUCAAAUCCUUCAAAAGCUCCUGAAGUAGACACUGCCACCAGCCACUGUUGUCUUGAAGAUAUUAUUAGGACGAUCAGGAAAAGUCCUAAUCCUCUGAUCCCAAAGUUCAUAAAACCCUCCUUUGGUCAAGCAGUUGGUGAGAAGAAAUGAAGACCCAGGUGCUCUAGUCUCUCCCCUGCCUCCCAAAAUUCCUUGACUGCACUAUUCUCUUACUAAGCUUCUGGAUGAUCAAAUCCUCCAAUUCCAAACUAGCCCGGAGUGUGGCCUAUUCCUUCAACCAAUUGGGGAUAGACUUCCUGUCAGACUUAAGUCAGUCUUCACACUUAGUCUAUAAAGCUGUCAGACCUAAGUAGGGUAGGGAUUGAUUAAUUGACUUGAUCCACUUAAACAACGAUCACAUUUCCAUUCAUUCAUCUUUAUCCCACUUCGUAUUCUUUUUUCAAAUAGAUUCUUUCAGUAUAUUUAUAUGAGGGAGUUUUCUCUCAGAGUAAAAUACAAUCUGUGUCUCUCCUCUCUUCUCAAAUUAAUUUAAUCAGUGUUCCUCACAAAAUAUUCUUUUAUUCCUCUUUCAGCAACAAAAAUGCCUACAUUCCAUAGUCUGACCUUAACAUGUUUUUCCAAGUUUUCCACUAUUCUAGCCAAAAUUAAGGUCUACUUGUUUAUGACUACUCACCCAGCAGAUACAGGUGUCUUUAUUUGCCCUGUCCUCUCUUUUCUGCCUGUCUAAAUCUUGUUCUAAAACACACACACACACACACACACACACACACACACACACACACACACACACGUUAAAGCCCAGCUCAGAGCCUACUUGUUCUAUAAUGUCUUCCCUGAACACUCCAUCCUACAUCAGUUUCUCACUCCUCUAAACUCUUAUAUCUCUUAUUUGGUACUUAAUCAUUUAACUUUUCACAUGUAUAUGUUUGAUCCUCCCAGAUGAAUUAUAUUCCCCUAGUGGGUAGAAUUCAUGGUGUCUUAUUCUUUUUCCUAUCUCCCAUAUGACUUAGAGUGCUUUGAGUAGAGGAAAGGAAAGAGAGCUGGACUUUGAGUCCCAGAGAAAUCUGGUUUUGAAUACUGCCUUCGACACUUGCUAAGCUGUAAUCAAGGAGGCAAGUCCCUUUAACCUUCUUAGGUUUCAGUUUCCUUAUCUGUAAUACAGGGCAAUAAUAGCAUCUUCUUCACAGGGUCAUCCUGCAGAUCAAAUUAGAUAAUUCAAGCAAAGAACUUACCUAUGUCCAUGGUUAAGAGCCCCUGUAUUAAACUGUCUUCAGAUCCCCUACUUUGGGGAUCCCUCUCAAUUGCCACUUGCCACAGAGCCUGUGACUCCAACAUUCCAUUCCCUUCACCUGCCCCUGAGAACCAGUCACUCCCCUCUCCCUGUACCAUAAGAACAGCUUACAUAGUUAUCUAUGAGGAAUGCUCAGAAGACCAGGACACUCCCUCCCCUCCCCCAUAGCAUCUGUCCACAAGACCUAGCCUGAGAUGAUGAGAAAGUGAACAAUUCAUUCAGAGUGACAAAAGAUGCUUUUAAGAAAGAAAAUUUUCCCUUAAAGUGUGGUAUCAGGGAAGUAACUAAAAUGACCACAAGGAUACACUGAGAAAAGAAUCAGGGUUCGAAAUUCCUUGGCUGACUGUGUUGUGCUCAGUGUAACUUUCAUUGCCUGUCCAAAGAGCAUUUUCUCAGCUAAAUGACCUUGCUAAAGUGCAGACAAGAAACAUAAACAUGACAAAAGCAAUGUGGCUUUUUAGAUUUUUGUCCAGGUGUCUAUGCCUUCCCUCUGUGGGCUCUUUGAGACAAGGGCAUUCAUUCCUGCCUCAUGAAUUAUAACUUAAAAUCAUCUAUGUAUCCACAGUUCUGUAUUAAAAGCAGCUCUCAGAGACCAGCCCUACUUGAGCCACUUUCUGUAUUUUUGCCUUUAGGACUAGUCAUGUUAUUAACCAUGAAACCAAAGGUGUCAGAUUUGAAAUCCUUCUGACCCUAGCUAAGAAAGGCUCCUGGCACUUUGUGAGAUCCAUCCCUGAGGAAGGAGGCUGCUGCUCUCUUGUCUGCACUGGCUUAAACCAGCUUCAAAUAGGAAAAAGGACUGGGUGGAUGGAAGCUUCAGCCUAACAAAUAAUGUUUUAAAACCACAGGCUGAUACAAAGGAGAUGAUUACAAAUUUCAGCCAACCCAGCAUUCAGAAUGUAAGGGUGAAAAGGAGGGUUAAGGCAGCCCUUUCUACCCUUGCCACCUUUUGUUACUUUUUAAAGAGAGCUUGUUCAAUUCCUUUCUAAAAACUAUAUCCAAGAGUCAGUUCUCUUGCUGCCCUAGGUCGUUGAGUCCACAUUUAUGUUACUCUGUUCCAAAAUUCCUUUCUGAAUUCCUGUAGUGUCCAGCUCUGGCUAAUCUUAUUGUCACAUCUCUCCUUGUUCUUGACUCUAGGUCAAAUAGCUUUGUAGCAUCCCAACCCUCCGUGCUAUUGAGAAUCUGGUGAAUCUUAAUGAGUUCUUCUCCUAAUCUCUUUUUCAAAGGAGCUACAAUCCUUAAUUUCUCUAACUUGGUUUUAAAAUUAAUUUAGCUUCCCUGUGUCAUUCUUCUUGUCUCUAGCUGUCUCCAUUCUGUUGAAAGGUCAGGUUAUUUUCACUAGGAGAUGUCUCAAAACAUAUGCAAUGAUCUCAUACUGCAACUGAUUUCAAGUUUUUUCCUCAAACUUAUUUCAUACAAGCACAGAUGCUUUUUGAUUAGGCAGAAAUUUCCAACUGCUAGAUGAUCAGUUUAUCUAACAUUCAAACCCAGCAGUCUAUCCCCAGAGAUCCUAGUUACCUCCAAUUCAAAGUCUUAGGGUCAUAGUUUCAGAGCUAGUGGGGAUCUUGGAAGCCAUCAAGUCUACCCCUUUAUUUUAUAGAUAAGGAAACUGAGGAACAGAGAGAUUAUCCAUAGUUAACAAAGUAUCUAAGUCAGAAUUUGAACUCAAGGUUUCCUGACUCCAAGUUCACUAUGCUUUAUAUACCUAGAACUGUGAAAGAUACAAAAGAAAAAGACACUGUCCCUAACCUUAAAGGAGCCUGCAUUCUUAUUGUCGAGAUAAGACUUACACAACUAAGAAGUAAGACCAGAUAAAUAUAUGACAAAGUGGUGAUGAACAAUGGUGAUAGACUUGGCUCUUAGCAGUGCAACGAUCCAAAACAGUUUUAAAAAACUCAUGAUGGGGCAGCUAGGUGGUGCAGAGCACCAGCCCUGAAUUCAGGAG